GCAGCUGUGUGUUAGGGCUAGGAUGGCUCCUGGAUGCGCGUGACGCAAGUGACCUUGCGUGUAAAGGGAUACAUGAUCCCUUAAUUCAGGCUCAGGCUGAAGAACUGACCCACUUACAACAGAAGAUACAGGAAGGGAGAGGUGUCUGCUACCUUUUCACCCAGCAUGUGAAGAACACAGUCAAGUCUUUUGAGGGCCUUCUCAGGAACACUGACAUUGCCUACUACCAGAGACAGAGAUUCUGUGAGCAAAUGGUACAAGGAAGCCAGCUGACAGAGAUCCUUGUCAGAAAACUUGCCACAGGCACACUUUACUCCCAGUCAAAAGUGGACUGUAUACUUCCUCUUUGAUGUGAUGGUCCCUUUGGUUUUGGUGCCUCUUCCAUGAGCUUCAGAUCAGAACUAGCUAUGUGGUUCCAGGCUGCCUUGGUUUAAUCCCUUGUCUUGCCUACUUCACCUGGCUCAAGAGGGAAGUCCAGGAGGAAGAAAUGGAUGAAGUCCUGGAGUACUCACUAGAUGAACAGUAUUUGACUCAUUCCAGCUGCCAUGACUCCCACCAGCUUCCCAGCAGCAAUGCCUUCCUCUUUGAUGCACAGGAAGGCCCCUCGGCUGUGGAAACAGCCAAAGAUGAGAUCCAGAGCCAGUGGCAGCACCUGAAGGAGACCCUUUUCAUCAACAACUGCCUGUGAGAAAAGCUAGAACGUCAUCACAGCAGCUUUGAUGAAGAAAAUGGUAGGAGAGGCCCAAGCAAAUCAUAGAUUCCAUUGUCCAGCUGUAUAAUGAAAACAGAGUUCUCAGAGAAGAAUACCGGAGACUCUCCCGACUUGCCUGAAUCAAAUUUCCAGAGGUAA
rnacentral:lncRNA from 1 species